ACGAACGCUGGCGGCAGGCCUAACACAUGCAAGUCGAACGAGAAAGCACCUUCGGGUGUGAUUAGAGUGGCGCACGGGUGAGUAACGCGUGGGAACCUACCCUAAGGUACGGAAUAACAGUUGGAACGACUGCUAAUACCGUAUGUGCCCUACGGGAAAGAUUUAUCGCCUUAGGAUGGGCCCGCGUCGGAUUAGCUAGUUGGUGAGGUAAAGGCUCACCAAGGCUUCGAUCCGUAGCUGGUCUGAGAGGAUGAUCAGCCACACUGGAACUGAGACACGGUCCAGACUCCUACGGGAGGCAGCAGUGGGGAAUAUUGCGCAAUGGGGGCAACCCUGACGCAGCCAUGCCGCGUGAGUGAAGAAGGUCUUGGAUCGUAAAGCUCUUUCAACGGGGAAGAUGAUGACGGUACCCGUAGAAGAAGCCCCGG
rnacentral:rRNA from 1 species